GUUUAUAGCCAUACUACUCUGAACAUGAGCUUGAUCUCAGAAGCUAAGCAGAGUUUGGUCUCGUUAGUACUUGGAUGGGAGAUUCUGCAUUAUGGUGAGUUGUAUAAUUA
rnacentral:rRNA from 1 species